rnacentral:misc_RNA from 1 species
AAAAGUGUUGAAGCAAUUUGGUGUGCUAGGCGUAAGCCGAAGAACGCAUUUUGCUAUCAAUUUAGUCCGUUGAACCAUUUUUAUACAUUCUUUUAUAUCAGUCUGAAUCUAUAUACAACAAAAUUAU